rnacentral:tRNA from 1 species
GGGGUUGUAGCUUAGAGGUUGAGCACUUGCCUCGAAGGCAUGAGGCAUUGAGUUCCAUCCUCAGCACCA